GUCAGGCACUGUGGUGCCUGUCUGUAAUCCCAGUGACUCAGGAGACUGAGGCAGAAGGAUCAUAAGUUGGAGGCCAGCCUCAUCAACUUUGUGAGAUCCUGUCUCAA
rnacentral:sRNA from 1 species